GGGCCCGCACAAGCGGUGGAGCAUGUGGUUUAAUUCGAUGAUACGCGAGGAACCUUACCAGGACUUAAAUGUAAGUUGCAUGAUUCAGAAAUGAAUCUUUCUUCGGACUACUUACAAGGUGCUGCAUGGUUGUCGUCAGCUCGUGCCGUGAGGUGUCAGGUUAAGUCCCGCAACGAGCGCAACCCACGUCUUUAGUUGCCAGCAUUUAGUUGGGCACUCUAGAGAGACUGCCGGUGAUAAACCGGAGGAAGGUGUGGAUGACGUCAAGUCAUCAUGCCCCUUACAUCCUGGGCUACACACGUACUACAAUGCUACGGACAAAGGGCAGCAAGUUCGCGAGGACAAGCAAAUCCCAUAAACCGUGGCUCAGUUCAGAUCGUAGGCUGCAACUCGCCUACGUGAAGGCGGAAUCGCUAGUAAUCG
rnacentral:rRNA from 1 species